UCUGGUUGAUCCUGCAAGUAGUCAUAUGCUUGUCUCAAAGAUUAAGCCAUGCAUGUCUAAGUAUAAAUAGUGUACAGUGAAACUGCGAAUGGCUCAUUAAAACAGUUAUAGUUUAUUUGAUAAUUGACAAUUACAUGGAUAACCGUGGUAAUUCUAGAGCUAAUACAUGCUUAAACGCCCGACUUUAUGGAAGGGUGGUAUUUAUUAGACUGAAGCCAAUAUUCCUUGUGUCUAUUGCGGUGAUUCAUAAUAACUGAUCGAAUCUCUUUUUGAGAUAAAUCAUUCAAGUUUCUGCCCUAUCAGCUUUCGAUGGUAGUGUAUUGGACUACCAUGGCAGUAACGGGUAACGAAGAAUUAGGGUUCGAUUUCGGAGAGGGAGCAUGAGAAACGGCUACCACAUCUAAGGAAGGCAGCAGGCGCGUAAAUUACCCAAUCCUGACUCAGGGAGGUAGUGACAAGAAAUAGCAAACCGGGAACCUCAUGGUUUCACGGUAUUGCAAUGAGAACAAUUUAAAACCCUUAGCGAGAAUCAAGUGGAGGACAAGUCUGGUGCCAGCACCCGCGGUAAUUCCAGUUCCACUAGCGUAUAUUAAAGUUGUUGCAGUUAAAAAGCUCGUAGUUGAACCUCUGUCUGGGGCUAGUUUUGGCUUUGGUCAGGCUAGUUCUAGGCAUCCGCCUACAAGACUUAGAGGGCAUUCAGUUGUUCACUAGGAGGAGUAGGCAUUUUACUUUGAAAAAAUUAGAGUGUUUAAGGCAGGCAAUCGCCCGCAUAUAUUAGCAUGGAAUAAUAGAAUAGGACACUUUUCCAUUUCGUUGGUUAUUGGAAUCGUGUAAUGAUUAAUAGGGACAGUUUGGCAUUUGUAUUUAAUUGUCAGAGGUGAAAUUCUUGGAUUUAUUAAAGACAAACUAACGCGAAAGCAUUUGCCAAGGAUGUUUUCAUUAAUCAAGAACGAAAGUUAGGGGAUCAAAGACGAUCAGAUACCGUCCUAGUCUUAACUAUAAACUAUUCCGACUCAAUGUUUGACUGGCUUAUAUAACCAGUUGAGCGUUGUAUGAGAAAUCAAAGUCUUUAGGUUCUGGGGGGAGUAUGGUUGCGAAGCUGAAACUUAAAGGAAUUGACGGAAGAGCACAACCAGGAGUGGAUUCUGCGGCUUAAUUUGACUCAACACGGGGAAACUUACCAGGUUAAAACAAUAGUGGGAUUGACAGUCUGAGAGCGCUUUCUUGAUUGGUUGGGUGGUGGUGCAUGGCCGUUCUUAGUUGGUGGAGUGAUUUGUCUGCUUAAUUGCGUUAACGAACGAGACCUUAACCUGCUUACUAGACUGGCGAUCAUCAAUCGUUAGCUCUUCUUA
rnacentral:rRNA from 1 species